AAGCUACCAUGGUAACACAGGGAGAAAACCUGUAAAAAACUGAUUUGAGUCCUUGAAUAUCUAAGAUCCAAUCAUGAAAAAACGUUCAGCAAAUCCUUCCCACUGGGGAAAACAGAAAUUACAGGAAGUUUCUACCACUUCCCAUGGAACAUUAUUGAGCUUGAAGAAGGAAAGGUACUUUCCACUACAUUCUGACAGGCAGAAGCACUGCAGAUACUUUCAUGGGUUAUCUCUUUGCACUGCUGACCAGAAAUUAGAAAACCAUGAGAAUUAACUGGGAAAAUAGACCUUCAAAUGACCAAGAAGCAUGUGGAAUAUAAAAAAAGCCAAACCAAACAAAAAAACCUAAAACAGCAACAAAUACAUCAUCAAGAACCUAAGGAAAAAGAAAAGGGUCAAAGAAGAAAAAAAAAAAGAAGACAUAUUCUAUCCAUCAGAAAUUUUAAAAGAAGCCUAAUUGCCAGCAUCCUUUACCAAAUGUAUUUCCAGAUGUUCAUGCAGGAAAUUCUAAUUGUUUUUUAAAUAAAGAAGGCUAUUUGGGAAAGAGAAACCAAACAGGGUUUGAUUCCACAAUUGAAACACCUUACCUUUGUAACAAUGCCAAAAAAUAUGUUUGCACUUUUUUAUUUGAGGUCUUUUAGGAAAUAAGGGACACCUGCCAUUUGCUCCAAGGAUUGUGUAGAAUUUAACAGCUGCCAUACUGCACAAAUAACAGAAAAUUUCCUGCUAGCAUAUGUUUUAUAUUUGCAAUGUCACUGUUACUUUGCACA